UUUUGUCUUUGGGGAGGGGUGCGAUUCCCUACCGGCGGUAAAGUCCGCGAGCCUUGGCACGAAUCGGUGAAAUUCCGAUACCGACAGUACAGUCUGGAUGAGAAAAGACAGGU
rnacentral:ncRNA from 2 species